UAGGAUUAGAUAACCCUGGUAGUCCACGCCGUAAACGAUGAGUGCUAGGUGUUAGGCCCUUUCCGGGGCUUAGUGCCGCAGCUAACGCAUUAAGCACUCCGCCUGGGGAGUACGACCGCAAGGUUGAAACUCAAAGGAAUUGACGGGGGCCCGCACAAGCGGUGGAGCAUGUGGUUUAAUGGGAAGCAACGCGAAGAACCUUACCAGGUCUUGACAUCCCUCUGACCGCUGGAGAGAUAGAGUUUCCUUCGGACGGGAGGGACAGGGUGCAUUUUG
rnacentral:rRNA from 1 species